GACGAACGCUGGCGGCGUGCUUAACACAUGCAAGUCGAACGGUGAUCUCGGAGCUUGCGUUCGGGUGAUCAGUGGCGAACGGGUGAGUAACACGUGAGUAACCUGCCCUUGGCUCUGGGAUAACCCCGGGAAACCGAGGCUAAUACCGGAUAUGACGCAGACAGGCAUCUGUACUGUGUGGAAAGUUUUUUCGGCUAGGGAUGGACUCGGCGGCCUAUCAGCUUGUUGG
rnacentral:rRNA from 1 species